rnacentral:sRNA from 1 species
UUGCUGGCCAGCCACUGACCACCGUUUGAUGUGGCGUGUAGCGUUGAAUGCAUAUAGCUAAGGAUAUAUGUUUUACCCAUUUGAUAGGUGCAGCAUGUAAACAAUAGAACCGUCGGUAGUCCGAUGGGCACAAGCACUCUCCGCAAUUCCAGCCGGGAAUAACGAGCUGUGGCCUCCUUUAGGAGCAGGAGGGAGUGCUCUUUGUGGCUUCUUGUGGGGGAUAAAAUUAGCUAGUCAUCUUCUAACAAAAAUAAGUACAAUAUCUUUAGCUUUCGUAUUUCAUAUUGUAUCUUGAUGAGCUACAUAUAUAGAACUAUCAGUCUCACGUCCCAUACCAAGGUAAUAAUAAAAAUCUAUGACAUAUUAUUUAAGUACAUACGUAGAUCUGUACAUGUGCAUAAUGGUUAAUCUUCAAUCGGCCUGUGCUCCUACGACUGUGUGUAUGUAUGUAUGUAUGUAUGUAGUGUGUGUGUGUG